GACGAACGCUGGCGGCGUGCUUAACACAUGCAAGUCGAGCGGAAAGGCCACUUCGGUGGUACUCGAGCGGCGAACGGGUGAGUAACACGUGAGUAAUCUGCCCCUGGCUUUGGGAUAGCCACCGGAAACGGUGAUUAAUACCGGAUACGACCACUUCUCGCAUGGGAUGGUGGUGGAAAGUUUUUUCGGCCAGGGAUGUGCUCGCGGCCUAUCAGCUUGAUGGUGAGGUAAUGGCUCCCCAUGGCUUCGACGGGUAGCCGGCCUGAGAGGGUGCCCGGUCACACCGGGACUGAGACACGGCCCAGACUCCUACGGGAGGCAGCAGUGGGGAAUAUUGGACAAUGGGCGGAAGCCUGAUCCAGCAACGCCGCGUGAGGGAUGACGGCCUUCGGGUUGUAAACCUCUUUCAGCAGGGACGAAGCGCAAGUGACGGUACCUGCAGAAGAAGCACCGGCCAACUACGUGCCAGCCGCCGCAGUAA
rnacentral:rRNA from 1 species